UGUGCGGGCGGGUGGCUGCAAGAGGCUUUGGCGGACAUGGCUCCCAACGCGCCGGCAGCAGAACCGGAGUGUCCUAAAGGCAUCCGGGCUGUGCUGCUGGGGCCACCUGGGGCUGGCAAGGGUACGCAGGCCCCCAAAUUGGCAGAAAACUUCUGUGUCUGCCAUUUGGCCACUGGAGAUAUGCUGAGGGCCAUGGUGGCUUCUGGCUCAGAACUGGGAAAAAAAUUGAAAGCAACUAUGGAUGCUGGGAAACUGGUGAGUGAAGAAAUGGUAGUGGAGCUUAUUGAGAAGAAUUUGGAGACCCCGUCAUGCAAAAAUAGCUUUCUUCUGGACGGCUUCCCUCGGACUGUGAGACAGGCAGAAAUGCUUGAUGACCUCAUGGAGAAG